UUAUUUGAUAAUGUAAGCACCACUUCUAAAAAAGAUGUGGGGCAGUCUUUCAUCUAUUACUAGGAUAGGUAAUACUAACCUUCUCUUUCCCAAAAAUAUUCUUUCUAAAGAAAGGCAAAUCAUUCUGAAAGAAAUUAUUCUUUUUACAUACUUCCACAAGCAGUAACUUAUUAAAAACCAGUUACAUUUUGUCUUUUUUUUUUUUCUAUUCAUAUUUGACUUUUUCGCACUCCAUACCCUUUUUACUUUAUAGUCAUGAUUUCGUGCUUUGAAUAGAUGCUCUUUGGGUUGGGAGAAUCAUUUUAGUUACAGCUGAAAAUAAAAAGGACAUGCUAGAUUAUUUUCUUCUAGGUCAUCUCUGUUUAAUAUUUCAGAUCAACAAAAUGUAAUAGUACUAGGAUCGCAAUCUCUUCUUUACAAAUAGCUACAUUGUACUAAGAAUUGCCUUGGCUUGAGAUUUGACAAAAGAAGAAACUCUAGAAGUAACUUUUUUCAGAAUCACUGUAGAAUAGUGAGCUGAAUGUAGAACCAUGACUCUACUGUACCUUUAUUGUCCCCUUUCUAGUGCCUACCUACCACAAACUAAAUGCUUAAUACUUGGCUUGAAUUGAUGAUGUCCUAGAAGAUGUGAAUUUCUAGUGGGUAUUAACUAUAUCUGCUGCUGAGAUGAAGGGAAAGGCAAGUUUCCUGCAACAAAGUACAGGGCCAGAUGAAGGGAGAGUGAAGAUCAUUUUUCAUAAUGUCACCCUAUAAAUAUUUUGAAGAGAUUCUAUUGCUAUAAACCAUAAACACAUCCCUGUUGGGAAAGACAGGAGCAGUGUUUUCUGAUUAUAAGGAGUGUUUGUUGGAGCUACAGGCGUGUGGAAGCAAUUUCAGGAACAUCGUUGCGAGGAGUCUCUGGCAGAGAGAAUUCAAACAACUGCCAUAGGAAAUGGGGUACAGCCUUCACAGGACAUAUAUGCUAAAAUACAGAGUGGAAUGUUGUCCUGAUGUUGGAUGGGAUUCUCAGGUGAGAAGUUAGUUUAUCAGUACUGUGAAAUACCUAGACUUUCACUGCCAGAAAAUUAAGAUUGUAAUCUCCUUGAAGACCAAGACCCUCUUCUUAAUUUCUCCCUACCUGCCUUCUGGGCAGGCCUGGGAUGGGGUUCCAAACCUGACACUGAAAUGCGGAAACAGUGAAACCUUUUACAACACACAGUAUGCUCUUUUCUUCAGCCCAUCAGAGUAUCCAGAAUUUGGCUGUGAUAAAUCUCCUUCAACUCCCUCUUUUUACAGGGGGGUGAUUGGGCCAAAGAAGGUGGAGUAGCUUACCCAUGUUUCCAUGGUGAGCCUGAGGUAGUGCCAGAAAGAGGACCCACUUCCCAUUGACCUCUGUCUACUUCAGGAGGCAGGUGUGUUUAAAUAGAACACUGGGUUUCUGAAGCUGCAUAAGAAAACAGUUGAAUCUGAAGAAAGGCCUAAAACAAGGCAAUGCGGGGCAUUGGAAAGCAGGGCAAUUGUGGGAAUGGGAGACCCAAUCUUGCUUGGAAUCUGUAUGUCGCCAGCGAAUGUCUUUCAUCCCCAUUAUUAGUUAGCCGGUUAAUUAGCUGGUAUUGGUCUACGGCUGGUUAAUGGCCUUACAUAGAAUAUAAUUUUCAUCACUGGGCUCUCUGAGGGGUAUAUUUUUGGCUUGCCAUUCUCUAUAGUCUGACUUUUUGACCCAGUGUUCCAGUGGAAAUUUUCCAGAGCAUUGACAUUUCAAAAUGCAAGAGCAAGAGGAAGAAUAGAAAUCACAGCCUUAAAACAAAUGAGACAGGAGCUACUAGUCCAUUCUAGUCCCCAUCCCAGCAUCCCAUUCUCCACCCCCUCAGAAAUACAUCAGCAUAUCUGGCAGAGCUGGGUUUCACAAAACAAGAUGCACAGCUUGAUGAAACGGAUGCUGAUGGAGGCAGUGAGAGGAGGCAGAGGUGGGGUGGAGAGCAAAGAGGGAGAAGGGGUGGUCUGGAUGCUAGCUGAAGAAGCCUUAAUAAUCCUAAAAAUUAUUGGGCAAUAAUUGCCACCUUGGAACUCACUUUGCUGUUCCAAAGAAUGAUAAAGCACCUUAAUUAUUGCUUUAAAUAACCACACAGCUCGAUCAAAACAGCAUGAAAUAGCACCCACGUAUGAGCAAACUUAUCUACUGCCAUUGCUGUUUACAGCUUGAG